UACGGGGGGAGCAAGCGUUGUUCGGAUUUACUGGGCGUAAAGGGCGGGUAGGCGGCCACCGCAAGUCAGUUGUGAAAUCUCUGGGCUUAACCCAGAAAGGUCAACUGAUACUGCGGGGCUAGAGUGCAGAAGGGGCAACUGGAAUUCUCGGUGUAGCGGUGAAAUGCGUAGAUAUCGAGAGGAACACCUACGGCGAAGGCGGGUUGCUGGGCUGACACUGACGCUGAACUGCGAAAGCUAGGGGAGCGAACGGG
rnacentral:rRNA from 1 species